GAUGAACGCUAGCGGCAGGCCUAAUACAUGCAAGUCGAACGAGAUUACGAGGCUUGCUUCUUAUGAAAGUGGCGCACGGGUGCGUAACGCGUAUGCAACCUACCUUAAUCAGGGGGAUAGCCCUAAGAAAUUCGGAUUAAGACCGCAUAAAAACACAGGAUAGCAUUAUCCAAUGUUCAAAUAUUUAUAGGAUUAAGAUGGGCAUGCGUGUCAUUAGCUAGUUGGCGGGGUAACGGCCCACCAAGGCGACGAUGACUAGGGGAUCUUAGAGGAUGACCCCCCACACGGGUACUGGGAAACGGACCAGACUCCUACGGGAGGCAGCAGUAAGGAAUAUUGGUCAAUGGAGGGAACUCUGAACCAGCCAUGCCGCGUGCAGGAAGACAGCCCUCUGGGUCGUAAACUGCUUUUAGUCGGGAAUAAACCUUUCUACGUGUAGGAAGCUGAAUGUACCGAAGGAAUAAGGAUCGGCUAACUCCGUG
rnacentral:rRNA from 1 species